rnacentral:rRNA from 1 species
GACGAACGCUGGCGGCGUGCUUAACACAUGCAAGUCGAACGGACCAAGGGGGCUGCUUCCUUGGUUAGUGGCGAACGGGUGAGUAACACGUGAGCAAUCUGCCCCUCGACUCUGGGAUAACUGCGGGAAACUGUAGCUAAUACCGGAUACGACGCGCGAAGGCAUCUUCUGCGUGUGGAAAGAAUUUCGGUCAGGGAUGAGCUCGCGGCCUAUCAGCUUGUUGGGAGGUAAUGGCUCACCAAGGCGACGACGGGUAGCCGGCCUGAGAGGGGUGACCGGCCACACUGGGACUGAGACACGGCCCAGACUCCUACGGGAGGCAGCAGUGGGGAAUAUUGCACAAUGGGCGAAAGCCUGAUGCAGCAACGCCGCGUGAGGGACGACGGCCUCGGUU